CGGACCGGCGCACGGGUGAGUAACGCGUAUGCAACUUGCCUAUCAGAGGGGGAUAACCCGGCGAAAGUCGGACUAAUACCGCAUGAAGCAGGGGCCCCGCAUGGGGAUAUUUGCUAAAGAUUCAUCGCUGAUAGAUAGGCAUGCGUUCCAUUAGGCAGUUGGCGGGGUAACGGCCCACCAAACCGACGAUGGAUAGGGGUUCUGAGAGGAAGGUCCCCCACAUUGGUACUGAGACACGGACCAAACUCCUACGGAAGGCAGCAG
rnacentral:rRNA from 1 species